GAUGAACGCUGGCGGCGUGCCUAAUACAUGCCAGUCGAGCGAACGGACGAGAAUCUUGCUUUUCUGAUGUUAGCGGCGGACGGGUGAGUAACACGUGGAUAACCUACCUAUAAGACUUGGAUAACUUCGGGAAACCGGAGCUAAGACCGGGUCAUAUUUUGAACCGCAUGGUUCAAAAGUGAAAGACGGUCUUGCUGUCACCUAUAGAUGUAUCCGCGCUGCAUUAGCUAGUUGGUAAGGUAACGGCUUACCAAGGCAACGAUGCAUAGCCGACCUGAGAGGGUGGUCGGCCACACGGGAACGGAGACGCGGUCCAGAGUCCUGCGGGAGGGAGCAGACGGGUACGUUCCGCAGUGGGCGAAAGCAUGACGGAGCGACGCCGAGUGUGUGGCGGCGGUGUUGCGAUCGUAAAACUCUGUUAUGAGGGAAGAACAUAUGUGUAAGGAGCUGUGCACUUCGUGACGGUACCUAAACAGAAAGCACCGGCUAACUACGUG
rnacentral:rRNA from 1 species